GACGAACGCUGGCGGCGUGCUUAACACAUGCAAGUCGAACGGAAAGGCCCUGCUUUUGUGGGGUGCUCGAGUGGCGAACGGGUGAGUAACACGUGAGUAACCUGCCCUUGACUUUGGGAUAACUUUAGGAAACUGGGGCUAAUACCGGAUAGGAGCUCCUGCUGCAUGGUGGGGGUUGGAAAGUUUCGGCGGUUGGGGAUGGACUCGCGGCUUAUCAGCUUGUUGGUGGGGUAGUGGCUUACCAAGGCUUUGACGGGUAGCCGGCCUGAGAGGGUGACCGGCCAAAUUGGGACUGAGAUACGGCCCAGACUCCUACGGGAGGAAGCAGUGGGGAAUAUUGCACAAUGGGCGGAAGCCUGAUGCAGCAACGCCGCGUGCGGGAUGACGGCCUUCGGGUUGUAAACCGCUUUCGCCUGUGACGAAGCGUGAGUGACGGUAAUGGGUAAAGAAGCACCGGCUAACUACGUG
rnacentral:rRNA from 1 species